rnacentral:rRNA from 1 species
AUUGAACGCUGGCGGCAGGCCUAACACAUGCAAGUCGAACGGUAACAGGAAGCAGCUUGCUGCUUUGCUGACGAGUGGCGGACGGGUGAGUAAUGUCUGGGAAACUGCCCGAUGGAGGGGGAUAACUACUGGAAACGGUAGCUAAUACCGCAUAACGUCGCAAGACCAAAGAGGGGGACCUUAGGGCCUCUUGCCAUCGGAUGUGCCCAGAUGGGAUUAGCUAGUGGGUGGGGUAACGGCUCACCUAGGCGACGAUCCCUAGCUGGUCUGAGAGGAUGACCAGCCACACUGGAACUGAGACACGGUCCAGACUCCUACGGGAGGCAGCAGUGGGGAAUAUUGCACAAUGGGCGCAAGCCUGAUGCAGCCAUGCCGCGUGUAUGAAGAAGGCCUUCGGGUUGUAAAGUACUUUCAGCGGGGAGGAAGGGAGUAAAGUUAAUACCUUUGCUCAUUGACGUUACCCGCAGAAGAAGCACCGGCUAACUCCGUG